rnacentral:rRNA from 1 species
CUACGGGAUGCUGCAGUGGGGAAUAUUGGACAAUGGGGGAAACCCUGAUCCAGCAAUGCCGCGUGUGUGAAGAAGGCCUGCGGGUUGUAAAGCUCUUUCGGUUGGGAGGACUGCUUCUAGCACUAAUAUUGUUGGAAGUUGACGUUACCUUCAGAAGAAGCACCGGCUAACUCCGUGCCAGCAGCCGCGGUAAUACGGAGGGUGCAAGCGUUAAUCGGAAUUACUGGGCGUAAAGCGCGCGUAGGCGGCUAGAUCAGUCGGGGGUGAAAGCCCCGGGCUUAACCUGGGAACUGCAUCCGAUCGUGUCGGGAUGAGUGGCGGGAGAGGGGAGUGCACAUCCACUUGUAGCGGUGAGAUGCGUGGAUAGGGGGGGGAUAACCGACGGCGGAGGCGGCUCCGUGGCCUGAUACAGCGGCUGGGGGGCAACGGCUGGGGGAGCAAACGGAUUUUAAUACCCUUGUGGUC